rnacentral:rRNA from 1 species
UACAGAGGUCUCAAGCGUUGUUCGGAUUCAUUGGGCGUAAAGGGUGCGUAGGUGGCGCCGUAAGUCGGGUGUGAAAUUUCGGAGCUUAACUCCGAAACUGCAUUCGAUACUGCGGUGCUUUGAGGACUGGAGAGGAGACUGGAAUUCAUGGUGUAGCAGUGAAAUGCGUAGAGAUCAUGAGGAAGACCAGUGGCGAAGGCGGGUCUCUGGACAGUUCCCUGACACUGAGGCACGAAGGCCAGGGGAGCAAACGGG